UACGUAGGGAGCAAGCGUUGUCCGGAAUCAUUGGGCGUAAAGGGUGCGUAGGCGGCGCGGUAAGUCGGGUGUGAAAUCUCGGAGCUUAACUCCGAAACUGCAUUCGAUACUGCCGUGCUUGAGGACUGGAGAGGAGACUGGAAUUUACGGUGUAGCGGUGAAAUGCGUAGAUAUCGUAAGGAAGACCAGUGGCGAAGGCGGGUCUCUGGAUAGUUCCUGACGCUGAGGCACGAAGGCCAGGGGAGCAAACGGG
rnacentral:rRNA from 1 species